UACGGGGGGUGCAAGCGUUGUUCGGAAUUACUGGGCGUAAAGGGCGCGUAGGCGGUUGGAUAAGUCAGCUGUGAAAACCACGGGCUUAACUCGUGGCCUGCAGUUGAGACUGUCUGGCUUGAGUGUGGGAGAGGAGAGUGGAAUUCCUGGUGUAGCGGUGAAAUGCGUAGAUAUCAGGAGGAACACCGGUGGCGAAGGCGGCUCUCUGGACCACAACUGACGCUGAGGCGCGAAAGCUAGGGGAGCAAACAGG
rnacentral:rRNA from 1 species